UACGUAGGGUGCGAGCGUUGUCCGGAAUUAUUGGGCGUAAAGGGCUCGUAGGCGGUUUGUCGCGUCGGGAGUGAAAACUCAGGGCUUAACCCUGAGCCUGCUUCCGAUACGGGCAGACUAGAGGUAUGCAGGGGAGAACGGAAUUCCUGGUGUAGCGGUGAAAUGCGCAGAUAUCAGGAGGAACACCGGUGGCGAAGGCGGUUCUCUGGGAAUAUCCUGACGCUGAGGAGCGAAAGUGUGGGGAGCGAACAGG
rnacentral:rRNA from 1 species